rnacentral:rRNA from 1 species
UAAAUCCGGUUCACUUUAACACUGAGGCGUGACGACGAGGCACUACGGUGCUGAAGCAACAAAUGCCCUGCUUCCAGGAAAAGCCUCUAAGCAUCAGGUAACAUCAAAUCGUACCCCAAACCGACACAGGUGGUCAGGUAGAGAAUACCAAGGCGCUUGAGAGAACUCGGGUGAAGGAACUAGGCAAAAUGGUGCCGUAACUUCGGGAGAAGGCACGCUGACACGUAGGUGAAGUGAUUUACUCAUGGAGCUGAAGUCAGUCGAAGAUACCAGCUGGCUGCAACUGUUUAUUAAAAACACAGCACUGUGCAAACACGAAAGUGGACGUAUACGGUGUGACGCCUGCCCGGUGCCGGAAGGUUAAUUGAUGGGGUCAGCGCAAGCGAAGCUCCUGAUCGAAGCCCCGGUAAACGGCGGCCGUAACUAUAACGGUCCUAAGGUAGCGAAAUUCCUUGUCGGGUAAGUUCCGACCUGCACGAAUGGCGUAAUGAUGGCCAGGCUGUCUCCACCCGAGACUCAGUGAAAUUGAACUCGCUGUGAAGAUGCAGUGUACCCGCGGCAAGACGGAAAGACCCCGUGAACCUUUACUAUAGCUUGACACUGAACAUUGAGCCUUGAUGUGUAGGAUAGGUGGGAGGCUUUGAAGUGUGGACGCCAGUCUGCAUGGAGCCGACCUUGAAAUACCACCCUUUAAUGUUUGAUGUUCUAACGUGGACCCGUAAUCCGGGUUGCGGACAGUGUCUGGUGGGUAGUUUGACUGGGGCGGUCUCCUCCUAAAGAGUAACGGAGGAGCACGAAGGUUGGCUAAUCCUGGUCGGACAUCAGGAGGUUAGUGCAAUGGCAUAAGCCAGCUUGACUGCGAGCGUGACGGCGCGAGCAGGUGCGAAAGCAGGUCAUAGUGAUCCGGUGGUUCUGAAUGGAAGGGCCAUCGCUCAACGGAUAAAAGGUACUCCGGGGAUAACAGGCUGAUACCGCCCAAGAGUUCAUAUCGACGGCGGUGUUUGGCACCUCGAUGUCGGCUCAUCACAUCCUGGGGCUGAAGUAGGUCCCAAGGGUAUGGCUGUUCGCCAUUUAAAGUGGUACGCGAGCUGGGUUUAGAACGUCGUGAGACAGUUCGGUCCCUAUCUGCCGUGGGCGCUGGAGAACUGAGGGGGGCUGCUCCUAGUACGAGAGGACCGGAGUGGACGCAUCACUGGUGUUCGGGUUGUCAUGCCAAUGGCACUGCCCGGUAGCUAAAUGCGGAAGAGAUAAGUGCUGAAAGCAUCUAAGCACGAAACUUGCCCCGAGAUGAGUUCUCCCUGAGACUUAGAGUCUCCUGAAGGAACGUUGAAGACGACGACGUUGAUAGGCCGGGUGUGUAAGCGCAGCGAUGCGUUGAGCUAACCGGUACUAAUGAACCGUGAGG